UCAACUAUGAACACGAUGGUACAA
rnacentral:siRNA from 1 species